rnacentral:rRNA from 1 species
GAACGACGCUGGCGGCAGGGCCUAACACAUGCAAGUCGAGCGAGGACUUCGGUCCUAGCGGCGGACGGGUGAGUAACGCGUGGGAACGUGCCCUUUGGUACGGAAUAGCCCCGGGAAACUGGGAGUAAUACCGUAUGGUGUCUUCGGACUAAAGAUUUAUCGCCAAAGGAUCGGCCCGCGUUGGAUUAGGUAGUUGGUGGGGUAAUGGCCUACCAAGCCUACGAUCCAUAGCUGGUUUGAGAGGAUGAUCAGCAACACUGGGACUGAGACACGGCCCAGACUCCUACGGGAGGCAGCAGUGGGGAAUCUUAGACAAUGGGCGCAAGCCUGAUCUAGCCAUGCCGCGUGGACGAUGAAGGCCUUAGGGUUGUAAAGUCCUUUCAGAUGGGAAGAUAAUGACGGUACCAUCAGAAGAAGCCCCGGCUAACUCCGUG